UUCUUCGGGGCAGGGUGACACAAGAAGGAGAGACUCUGAUGUUUGUGAAUUCCCAACCGGCGGUAGAGUCCGCGACCCGGCGCGUUUCGCGCUGGCUGAUCUGGUGAGAUUCCAGAACCGACAGUAUAGUCUGGAUGAGAGAAGAA
rnacentral:ncRNA from 1 species